rnacentral:rRNA from 1 species
UACAGAGGUCUCAAGCGUUGUUCGGAUUCAUUGGGCGUAAAGGGUGCGUAGGUGGCUCGGUAAGUCAGUUGUGAAAUCUCGGGGCUCAACCCCGAAACUGCACUUGAUACUGCCUUGCUCGAGUACUGGAGAGGAGAUUGGAAUUUACGGUGUAGCAGUGAAAUGCGUAGAUAUCGUAAGGAAGACCAGUGGCGAAGGCGAAUCUCUGGACAGUUACUGACACUGAGGCACGAAGGCCAGGGGAGCAAACGGG